rnacentral:lncRNA from 1 species
AGCAAAGGAAAAAUACCUCUCCCCUCCCACCUUGAGCAUAGCUCCCUGUCAGCACCGCAGCCUGGGAACCAAGGUGGAGAGAAGAUGUGAUCACACUGCUCUUGGCUAUUGGGACUGUCACCAGACAGGGUCUGAAGGGGUCUCUGAAGUGGAGCUGGGGAACCUCAUCUUACUCCACCCACAGGCUACCUGGUUCCACACUACAGAAGCAGAGGGGAACAUAAAGGCCAUUGCCCUGACCUGCAGAAGUGAACGACAGAGAGAGGGGCUCUCUCAGGCUCCCUGAUGAAAACUGAAGCCCACUGGAAAAGUGAAGAGACUCUCUGCAAUAAAGGCACACCCGACCACCGUGCUUGCAGGACAUAACAAACAGGUGAAAAAAGCCAGCCCCCACGGACCAGCCUCCUAUAGCAGAAGCUAUGAGGAAAACCACACAGCAGAGAAAAAUACUCAUGUAAAGAUCUGUGCACCAUGCUUAAGCUAUAUGAAGAAAAGGUCCAAAUAAAUCUAAUACCUAAACAACACACUGGAGCAGAGGGCUGCAGAUGAACUUGGACAGAUACUUUCUCAGCAGAUAUACACCAUCACAGGAACAGAGUACCUCUGAGCAUGACUCCCUUCAGUCAGCAUGGAAGAUUAAUGAAACCAGCUUUUAACUCUAAAAUUAUAAAAUGAUAUAAUGCAGAAUAAACAUAAUUAUUUGUUUGUUUGUUUUGUUUUGGUACCGGGGAUUGAACUCGGGACUUUGCAUUUGUGAGGCAGGCAGUAGAACCACUGAGCUAAAUCCCCGGCCCUAAGCAUAAUUGUUGUCAGAGCAGACACAGACCUUCUGGCAUUAUAUGGAAAGAUAUCUGAUGUAUUGCAUAAACCCGGAUCCCUCUAGCAUUUCCUCAGACUUCCCUUCUUCAUCCAGCUGCACUUGUGCUUUUCGUCCUUAAACAUGUAUCUGCUUUGAACCUGAUGGAUCAGGUGAUUCCAAACUACACUUUCCCCUGGGCUACUCACCAUUUCUAGUUCAUCUCCUGGGCAAAUAUCCCAACCCUUGGAAGUUAGGCACACAGUCUGUGCAUGUACUAAGCAUGUGGCUUUCUGCAUAUGUCUGCACAUCAUUUUUCAGGAAACUCUAUUUCACACUGCACCAGCUUGCUGAGUAGCUGUUGUUCACACCCACUGAGAAAUAACUCCAUGUGAGAAUAAUACCUUUACAACUUUGAAAUGUCCUCAGACAGACUUCUCAUCUCCAGGCCAUCAACCUGCUGUGAACUCUCAUCCUGACUUUUCACACUUACAGGCAACAGUCAUGCAACAUACUGUCAAACAAUAUGAAGGUUUGGGGAGAUGUGGAGGAGUGAAAAAUUUUAAAUUGGAGCCUGAACAUCUUUUGAGAUGGGUGUAAUUUUUAAUAAUUAAAAAAUCUAUCACACAUACAA